GAGCUGCAGAGCGACGCAGCCUGCGGUGCAGUCAUCACACCCUUCUGGGUACCAGCUCCCCGCUGCCCUGCGCAGGCAGGCUGGCAUCGGGCCCAGGAAAAGCGGAGCAGUUUUCAGAUACCCUGCCAGCCUGAACAUCUUGGUGAAGGAAAUGAUGGACUUUUGGAAGAAGCCCUAGAAUGCUACAGAUCUUCCCAUACAUCUGCAGUAGGGCUGUUUACCACUGGAAACAAGGGAGAGGGGGAAACUUGUCUAGAACCGUGGAGAUCUACCUGCAGGUUUGCUGCAGGGCUUGAGAUGACUGGAAGCAAAGAAACAAGGAGGAAAUUGCCCCUGAUCAGUAGAGACUGGUCCAUAGAUCUCAUGAGUAUAUAGACCUACUUUCGGGUGUAUCACAAAUCAAGAGAAGGAAAGAGGAGGGAACUGCUUUGGAUCAAUACAGGU